GAUGAACGCUGGCGGCGUGCCUAAUACAUGCAAGUCGAGCGAAUGGAUUAAGAGCUUGCUCUUAUGAAGUUAGCGGCGGACGGGUGAGUAACACCUGGGUAACCCGCCCAUAAGACUGGGAUAACUCCGGGAAACCGGGGCUAAUACCGGAUAACAUUUUGAACCGCAUGGUUCGAAAUUGAAAGGCGGCUUCGGCUGUCACUUAUGGAUGGACACGCGUCGCAUUAGCUAGUUGGUGAGGUAACGGCUCACCAAGGCAACGAUGCGUAGCCGACCUGAGAGGGUGAUCGGCCACACUGGGACUGAGACACGGCCCAGACUCCUACGGGAGGCAGCAGUAGGGAAUCUUCCGCAAUGGACGAAAGUCUGACGGAGCAACGCCGCGUGAGUGAUGAAGGCUUUCGGGUCGUAAAACUCUGUUGUUAGGGAAGAACAAGUGCUAGUUGAUUAAGCUGGCACCUUGACGGUACCUAACCAGAAAGCCACGGCUAACUACGUGCCAGCCGCCGCCGUAA
rnacentral:rRNA from 1 species